UGGGGAAUUUUGGACAAUGGGCGAAGGCCUGAUCCAGCAAUGCCGCGUGUGUGAAGAAGGCCUUCGGGUUGUAAAGCACUUUUGUCCGGAAAGAAAUCCUUGGCUCUAAUACAGUCGGGGGAUGACGGUACCGGAAGAAUAAGCACCGGCUAACUACGUGCCAGCAGCCGCGGUAAUACGUAGGGUGCAAGCGUUAAUCGGAAUUACUGGGCGUAAAGCGUGCGCAGGCGGUUUGCUAAGACCGAUGUGAAAUCCCCGGGCUCAACCUGGGAACUGCAUUGGUGACUGGCAGGCUAGAGUAUGGCAGAGGGGGGUAGAAUUCCACGUGUAGCAGUGAAAUGCGUAGAGAUGUGGAGGAAUACCGAUGGCGAAGGCAGCCCCCUGGGCCAAUACUGACGCUCAUGCACGAAAGCGUGGGGAGCAAACAGGAUUAGAUACCCUGGUAGUCCACGCCCUAAAACGAUGUCAACUAGUUGUUGGGGAUUCAUUUCCUUAGUAACGUAGCUAACGCGUGAAGUUGACCGCCUGGGGAGUACGGUCGCAAGAUUAAAACUCAAAUGAAUUGACGGGGUCAUAGCUGUUUCCU
rnacentral:rRNA from 1 species